rnacentral:rRNA from 1 species
UACGGAAGGCAGCAGUGGGGAAUAUUGCACAAUGGGCGCAAGCCUGAUGCAGCCAUGCCGCGUGUAUGAAGAAGGCCUUCGGGUUGUAAAGUACUUUCAGUCGUGAGGAAGGUGUUAAGGUUAAUAACCUUAGCAAUUGACGUUAGCGACAGAAGAAGCACCGGCUAACUCCGUGCCAGCAGCCGCGGUAAUACGGAGGGUGCGAGCGUUAAUCGGAAUUACUGGGCGUAAAGGGCACGCAGGCGGUUAAUUAAGUUGGAUGUGAAAUCCCCGGGCUUAACCUGGGAAUGGCAUUCAAGACUGGUUAGCUAGAGUCUUGUAGAGGGGGUAGAAUUCCAUGUGUAGCGGUGAAAUGCGUAGAGAUGUGGAGGAAUACCGGUGGGCGAAGGCGGCCCCUGGGACAAAGGACUGACGCUCAUGUGCGAAAGCGUGGGGAGCGAAACAGGGAUUAGAU